GCCUGGGUGGCUCAGUCGGUUAAGCGUCUGACUUUGACUCAGGUCAUGAUCUCAUGGUUUGUGGGUUUGAGCCCCGCGUUGGGCU
rnacentral:tRNA from 1 species